rnacentral:rRNA from 1 species
AGGAGACGCUGGCGGCGUGGAUUAGGCAUGCAAGUCGAACGGUAUCAUCCUUCGGGGGUGAGAGAGUGGCGAACUGGUGAGUAACACGUAGGUUAUCUACCCUCAAGACGGGGACAACCCAGGGAAACUUGGGCUAAUACCGGAUGUGAGCAACUUUUAGUUGUUUGAAAGGUGGCGUAAGCUGUCGCUUGGGGAUGAGCCUGCGUCCUAUUAGUUAGUUGGUGAGGUAACGGCUCACCUAGGCAAUGAUAGGUAGGCGGCCUUAACGGGUGGUCGCCCACACUGGGAUUGAGAUACGGCCCAGACUCCUACGGGAGGCAGCAGUCGAGAAUAGUCUACAAUGGUCGGAAGACUGAUAGUGCGACGCCGCGUGAACGAUGAAUCCCUUCGGGGUGUAAAGUUCUUUUAUAUGUGAGCAGUGCUUCUUAUAUUAACAGUAUGGGGAGAGAGAUAUUAGCAUAUGAAUAAGCAACGGCUAACUCCGUG